GUGGGGAAUAUUGGACAAUGGGGGGAACCCUGAUCCAGCCAUGCCGCGUGUGUGAAGAAGGCCUUUUGGUUGUAAAGCACUUUAAGCGAGGAGGAGGCUACCGAGAUUAAUACUCUUGGAUAGUGGACGUUACUCGCAGAAUAAGCACCGGCUAACUCUGUGCCAGCAGCCGCGGUAAUACAGAGGGUGCGAGCGUUAAUCGGAUUUACUGGGCGUAAAGCGCGCGUAGGCGGCUUUUUAAGUCGGAUGUGAAAUCCCCGAGCUUAACUUGGGAAUUGCAUUCGAUACUGGUUGGCUAGAGUAUGGGAGAGGAUGGUAGAAUUCCAGGUGUAGCGGUGAAAUGCGUAGAGAUCUGGAGGAAUACCGAUGGCGAAGGCAGCCAUCUGGCCUAAUACUGACACUGAGGUGCGAAAGCAUGGGGAGCAAACAGGAUUAGAAACCCUGGUAGUCC
rnacentral:rRNA from 1 species